UUCCGAUAGUACCGGUGCCGGAAUCGAAAACGAAAUCGUCGACUAGUUUACCGUCUUUAUCCAACGCCUGUGCUCUUACACCCGCCGGCCCUCUGUUAACAAGAUUUAAUUAUAGGGAAUUCGUUAGGCUUUUAUGAUAGCGGAAACCACCGUACGGAGAAUGCUGACCUUUUGACAUCCUUCCCGGUAUAAAGUAUCGGAAGCACAGCUUAUACAAGCCGGGGAAUUUCGCCAUUUCUAUGCAGUCUCUUAUAUUUACAUCGAACCAGCUGAAAGAGAACCUUCUCUAGCGAACGCCAGGACAGCAUUGGGACCUAGCCAGAUAUCGCCGUUCAUUCUGGGUGUAAAGUGUACACCUAGAAAUGGAAAUC